rnacentral:rRNA from 1 species
GGGUUGUGAGGUUAAGCGACUAAGCGUACACGGUGGAUGCCCUGGCAGUCAGAGGCGAUGAAGGACGUGCUAAUCUGCGAUAAGCGUCGGUAAGGUGAUAUGAACCGUUAUAACCGGCGAUUUCCGAAUGGGGAAACCCAGUGUGUUUCGACACACUAUCAUUAACUGAAUCCAUAGGUUAAUGAGGCGAACCGGGGGAACUGAAACAUCUAAGUACCCCGAGGAAAAGAAAUCAACCGAGAUUCCCCCAGUAGCGGCGAGCGAACGGGGAGCAGCCCAGAGCCUGAAUCAGUGUGUGUGUUAGUGGAAGCGUCUGGAAAGGCGCGCGAUACAGGGUGACAGCCCCGUACACAAAAAUGCACAUGCUGUGAGCUCGAUGAGUAGGGCGGGACACGUGGUAUCCUGUCUGAAUAUGGGGGGACCAUCCUCCAAGGCUAAAUACUCCUGACUGACCGAUAGUGAACCAGUACCGUGAGGGAAAGGCGAAAAGAACCCCGGCGAGGGGAGUGAAAAAGAACCUGAAACCGUGUACGUACAAGCAGUGGGAGCACGCUUAGGCGUGUGACUGCGUACCUUUUGUAUAAUGGGUCAGCGACUUAUAUUCUGUAGCAAGGUUAACCGAAUAGGGGAGCCGAAGGGAAACCGAGUCUUAACUGGGCGUUAAGUUGCAGGGUAUAGACCCGAAACCCGGUGAUCUAGCCAUGGGCAGGUUGAAGGUUGGGUAACACUAACUGGAGGACCGAACCGACUAAUGUUGAAAAAUUAGCGGAUGACUUGUGGCUGGGGGUGAAAGGCCAAUCAAACCGGGAGAUAGCUGGUUCUCCCCGAAAGCUAUUUAGGUAGCGCCUCGUGAAUUCAUCUCCGGGGGUAGAGCACUGUUUCGGCAAGGGGGUCAUCCCGACUUACCAACCCGAUGCAAACUGCGAAUACCGGAGAAUGUUAUCACGGGAGACACACGGCGGGUGCUAACGUCCGUCGUGAAGAGGGAAACAACCCAGACCGCCAGCUAAGGUCCCAAAGUCAUGGUUAAGUGGGAAACGAUGUGGGAAGGCCCAGACAGCCAGGAUGUUGGCUUAGAAGCAGCCAUCAUUUAAAGAAAGCGUAAUAGCUCACUGGUCGAGUCGGCCUGCGCGGAAGAUGUAACGGGGCUAAACCAUGCACCGAAGCUGCGGCAGCGACGCUUAUGCGUUGUUGGGUAGGGGAGCGUUCUGUAAGCCUGUGAAGGUGUGCUGUGAGGCAUGCUGGAGGUAUCAGAAGUGCGAAUGCUGACAUAAGUAACGAUAAAGCGGGUGAAAAGCCCGCUCGCCGGAAGACCAAGGGUUCCUGUCCAACGUUAAUCGGGGCAGGGUGAGUCGACCCCUAAGGCGAGGCCGAAAGGCGUAGUCGAUGGGAAACAGGUUAAUAUUCCUGUACUUGGUGUUACUGCGAAGGGGGGACGGAGAAGGCUAUGUUGGCCGGGCGACGGUUGUCCCGGUUUAAGCGUGUAGGCUGGUUUUCCAGGCAAAUCCGGAAAAUCAAGGCUGAGGCGUGAUGACGAGGCACUACGGUGCUGAAGCAACAAAUGCCCUGCUUCCAGGAAAAGCCUCUAAGCAUCAGGUAACAUCAAAUCGUACCCCAAACCGACACAGGUGGUCAGGUAGAGAAUACCAAGGCGCUUGAGAGAACUCGGGUGAAGGAACUAGGCAAAAUGGUGCCGUAACUUCGGGAGAAGGCACGCUGAUAUGUAGGUGAAGUCCCUCGCGGAUGGAGCUGAAAUCAGUCGAAGAUACCAGCUGGCUGCAACUGUUUAUUAAAAACACAGCACUGUGCAAACACGAAAGUGGACGUAUACGGUGUGACGCCUGCCCGGUGCCGGAAGGUUAAUUGAUGGGGUUAGCCGCAAGGCGAAGCUCUUGAUCGAAGCCCCGGUAAACGGCGGCCGUAACUAUAACGGUCCUAAGGUAGCGAAAUUCCUUGUCGGGUAAGUUCCGACCUGCACGAAUGGCGUAAUGAUGGCCAGGCUGUCUCCACCCGAGACUCAGUGAAAUUGAACUCGCUGUGAAGAUGCAGUGUACCCGCGGCAAGACGGAAAGACCCCGUGAACCUUUACUAUAGCUUGACACUGAACAUUGAGCCUUGAUGUGUAGGAUAGGUGGGAGGCUUAGAAGUGUGGACGCCAGUCUGCAUGGAGCCGACCUUGAAAUACCACCCUUUAAUGUUUGAUGUUCUAACGUUGACCCGUAAUCCGGGUUGCGGACAGUGUCUGGUGGGUAGUUUGACUGGGGCGGUCUCCUCCUAAAGAGUAACGGAGGAGCACGAAGGUUGGCUAAUCCUGGUCGGACAUCAGGAGGUUAGUGCAAUGGCAUAAGCCAGCUUGACUGCGAGCGUGACGGCGCGAGCAGGUGCGAAAGCAGGUCAUAGUGAUCCGGUGGUUCUGAAUGGAAGGGCCAUCGCUCAACGGAUAAAAGGUACUCCGGGGAUAACAGGCUGAUACCGCCCAAGAGUUCAUAUCGACGGCGGUGUUUGGCACCUCGAUGUCGGCUCAUCACAUCCUGGGGCUGAAGUAGGUCCCAAGGGUAUGGCUGUUCGCCAUUUAAAGUGGUACGCGAGCUGGGUUUAGAACGUCGUGAGACAGUUCGGUCCCUAUCUGCCGUGGGCGCUGGAGAACUGAGGGGGGCUGCUCCUAGUACGAGAGGACCGGAGUGGACGCAUCACUGGUGUUCGGGUUGUCAUGCCAAUGGCACUGCCCGGUAGCUAAAUGCGGAAGAGAUAAGUGCUGAAAGCAUCUAAGCACGAAACUUGCCCCGAGAUGAGUUCUCCCUGACUCCUUGAGGGUCCUGAAGGAACGUUGAAGACGACGACGUUGAUAGGCCGGGUGUGUAAGCGCAGCGAUGCGUUGAGCUAACCGGUACUAAUGAACCGUGAGGCUUAACCUUACAACGCCGAAGCUGUU